ensembl:lncRNA
GCUUUCUCCACCCCACACAUAGAGAGAGUGGUUAUUUUCCUACUUCCAGAAGCGUCAACAAGGCAGUUAAUCACCAUAUCAAUGGUGAUAGCGUAACUUUGUUGGUGAGGGUAGCAUUUCUAGAGAUUUCUGAAAAUCAGUCAUAAUUUCCAAGUGCUGCGUUUCAUUACACUUUUCCUCACCCUGCUACAUCCAGGGCUUUGUUUCCAGGGUGGGCUGGAAUGCUUUAAAACAAGCACUCGUCUGUACUAUUAUUCCUUCCUUCCUCUUUGGAGCUGUGAAAGGCCACCAGGGCCUGUCUCCAGGACUCUCCCUAUAAAGCCUGAACUAUGCACCUAGUUCCGGAGCUGGGAUUUGCCCUCAAGAUUUAUCACCUGCUAAAGAGGUACUGAACGUGUAGCCAGAAGGCUGACUGAAGGCAGCAACAUGCAAGAGGAAGGCCAGUGGAUCUCAAGGAAGGACAAGUCCUUGUGAUUGUCAGUCAAAAACCUCUUCCCUCAGUAAUCGUGAAGGUAUCAGCAGUCCUGGCGUAGGAUGAUGGAGGAAGCCAUGAUGAAUUCAUCUGGAUGAGAGACUGUAACUUGC